rnacentral:misc_RNA from 1 species
GUGAAUCAUCAAAUCUUUGAACGCAAAUUGCACUCUCCUCGGAGAGUAUGCCUGUUUGAGGGUCAUCCUAUAAAAAAUCGACAUCGUUGCUGUUUCGCGGUGGCGUUCGUCGGAUAUUUGUACAUCUUAAAUCUUUUGGUUUUAAGCGACUUAAAAUUUUCUUUUUGGUUCCAUGAACGUUUCUAAGAUUGAUUUCUUUACACAUUUAAGGUAUCGAUUUGUAUUAGACUUGACCAUCAUAUCUGAUCGCGCCCAUU